GUCUAAAGGAAAAUCCGUUUCCACAUAGUUAAAACUUUUUCUGCGUAAAUAGUAUACUCUGUUACAGCUCAAGGUAUAUCUGGAACCUCACAGAAAAAUGUUUUACAUCUUAACAUUUGCUUAGUAGUCUGAAUCCCAGACUUAAGUUUUCCUUUAUUGCAGAGGAAUUCACUGUGGACACGUCUUGGUAAGACAAUCCUUCAGCUAAUGCCUGAAUGAAGCGCACCAAGACACUGGUAAUUGAGCAUGGAGUUCAUCUGAAGUAACUUUCCUAUGGAAAUUGGUGUGGGCAGUCACUGGAAGAAAGAUGUGGCUUUUGAGCUCAUCUGACGCAAAGGCAGAGGAAGGUUUCAUUGUCUUUUGACCUAUGACUACAUGGAGAAAAAUAUGUCCUUGGGCGUGUGUAAAACCUUUCUACCCCGUCAGUUUUCCUCAGGCCUGCAACAGGUCCCCAGAAAACAGGAAAUGGCUUCUUUGAGAGUCGGUUUCCUGUUGUUUCCACAUGAGGACAGAGGAAAAAUUGCUGCUGGCGAUGGUGAGCUUGAAAGAUCACAGUGAAUCCUUGCUAUGAAUUUCUUCCUGCACCUGAGAUUUGAGCAGCAGAGAAGAGACACUUAGGCAUACAUCAAAGGGUACUGUAUUUUAAAGUCAGUUUGUUUGUUUGUUUUUUUUAACUCUUUUCAUUUUCUUUGUUGCAGAAAUACUAUGUAAUGAAACAAUGGGUAGAAUUUCAUGUUCUUAAACCAUCAAAUUUAUUCAUAUGAAUCUGAAAGAGGUUGUUUUCUUUGUGCUUAGGUUUGUAAUAUUUCCGCAACACUGUAUGCAAGCAUCACUAGUAGAUGUGCAGGUAGUAACCUAAGGUAGUUAAAGCUUUUGAAUCAAGGGAAAUGUCAGUAACCCUCUUGACAUCUAUCCAGUAGUGUCCUGGAAAUUUCUACUUUCCCUUUCCUG
rnacentral:lncRNA from 1 species